UACGGGGGGGGCAAGCGUUGUUCGGAAUUACUGGGCGUAAAGGGCUCGUAGGUGGCCAACUAAGUCGGACGUGAAAUCCCUCAGCUUAACUGGGGAACUGCGUCCGAUACUGGAUGGCUUGAGUUUGGGAGAGGGACGCGGAAUUCCAGGUGUAGCGGUGAAAUGCGUAGAUAUCUGGAGGAACACCGGUGGCGAAGGCGGCGUCCUGGACCAAUACUGACACUGAAACGCGAAAGCCAGGGGAGCAAACGGG
rnacentral:rRNA from 1 species